rnacentral:tRNA from 1 species
AGGGAUUUAGGUUAGUACCAGACCAAGAGCCUUCAAAGCCCUAAGCGGGAGUGAAAAUCUCCCAACCCCUG